AUUGAACGCUGGCGGCAUGCCUUACACAUGCAAGUCGAACGGCAGCACGGGUGCUUGCACCUGGUGGCGAGUGGCGAACGGGUGAGUAAUACAUCGGAACAUGUCCUGUAGUGGGGGAUAGCCCGGCGAAAGCCGGAUUAAUACCGCAUACGAUCUACGGAUGAAAGCGGGGUACCUUCUGGCCUCGCGCUAUAGGGUUGGCCGAUGGCUGAUUAGCUAGUUGGUGGGGUAAAGGCCUACCAAGGCGACGAUCAGUAGCUGGUCUGAGAGGACGACCAGCCACACUGGGACUGAGACACGGCCCAGACUCCUACGGGAGGCAGCAGUGGGGAAUUUUGGACAAUGGGCGAAAGCCUGAUCCAGCAAUGCCGCGUGUGUGAAGAAGGCCUUCGGGUUGUAAAGCACUUUUGUCCGGAAAGAAAUCCUUGGCCCUAAUACGGUCGGGGGAUGACGGUACCGGAAGAAUAAGCACCGACUAACUACGUG
rnacentral:rRNA from 1 species